GAGAAAAAAUUAGAAAGGUGUAGGUUGACUUUAAUAAGAAAGAGAAAAAGUUAGAGGGGUGCAGAAUCACUUUAUGAAGAAAGAUAAAAUAUUAAAAUAAUAUUAAUUAAGGUUAAAAUGGUAAUUUUUGGAAGUGCAGGAUGAAAGCUUGGAGGUGGAAGAUGAAACACCCUGGAUUGAGUUGGGUUGGGUUUUGUUGGUGUGGUGGGAGUUGGGUUGGGGUUAGGUUGGGUUGGACGGGAUUGGACUUGAGGGUGACAGGAGUUGAUUGGGGGAGAGUGAUUGAGUGGAUUUGAGGGUAAUUUUUUUCGCUGUUUAUUUGAGUGAAUUUGGAGGUAAACGAGAAUGAAUUUUGAAAUAAACUUUGUGAGAAUUGUGUAGGAUUUAGUUUAUAUGAUAGAUUAAAAAAAUUUACUUCAAAAUCCACUUUCGUUUACCUCCAAAUUCACUCAAAUAAACAACAAAAAAUAUUAUCCUCAAAUCCACUCAAUCACUCUCCCCCAAUCAACUCCUGUCACCAUCAAGUGAACACACCCUUAAGGAAACAAGGUUUCAUCUCUGAAUAGAAGGUUAAAGGGAAUACAGACUCUAA
rnacentral:lncRNA from 1 species